UUUAUGUUUCCGUAGUGUGGGAGCUUUGUUCUUUCACUGUUUGCGGUGCCAUUCCAUAUAAAGUGAAGGAUAACGGCUACAGCAUUUUUUGUUAGACUUGGACAAUGUUGAAUGUACUACAGAAGCAUACUUUAAGGCUCCAGAGAGAGACAAGGAGAUGAGGAGACAAGCAGACGAACAGCGGAACAAUGCAGCAGAGAAAGAGAGAAGAGAAGGAACGUCUGAACGUCGAGAGGAGUUCGGCUGCUGGACGGCCAAACUCCAGGGGAAGAUCAUCUUCCCACUCCAUUCCCCCUCCAGCUCCCCAUCCAUCCCACUGAGAGCCACUUCCACCACUCAAUAAAAGCCCCAC
rnacentral:lncRNA from 1 species